UCGACCACAGUGGGCCUGAAUAAAGCCCAUGACGAUUGUCANAGCAGUGAGGAAUAUUGGUCAAUAGCCUAACGGCUGAACCAGCAACUUGGGGGAAUGUAUAGCAAUAGCUACUUGUAUCAUUGUAGACAUGAUGCAAGCUCGACUUUGUUGAAUAAAAUUCUAGGUAGAAUUAUGAUAAUGACAUUGUCUGCCUAUGUGUCUUGACCAAAUUACGUGCCAGCAGUCGCGGUAAUACGUAGAAGACUAGUGUUAUUCAUGUUUAAUCGGUUUAAAGGGUACCUAGACGGUAGAUCAAGCCUACAGAUAAAAGAAAUGAAGGGACUAAUUUGCUAGAGUUACUUAUGAGGGGGUAUUAAAGUACUGCUGGUGUAGAGAUGAAAUUCUGUCAUACCUCUUUUCAAUAGAAAAAUAAUGGCACAGGUAUAGGUGAAAGCAUCCCCUUAUGUGAUAACUGACGUUGAGGGACGAAGGCUUUGUGUAGCGAACAGGAUUAGAUACCCCAGUAGUCAAAGCAGAAAAUGAUGAAUGUCAUAGAUUAGAUAUAUAAGUUUAUUCUAUAAAUGAAAGUGUAAGCAUUCCACCUCAAGAGUAAUUUGGCAACAUUGGAACUGAAAUCAUUAGACCGUUUCUGAAACCAGUAGUGAAGUAUGUUGUUUAAUUUGAUGGUCCGCAAAAAACCUUACCACAAUUUGAAUAUUUAUAUUUUUUUUUAUUUUUAAUUUUCUUAUGACUCUCCUGAUGAAAAAAGAUAAUACANGUAGAACAAGAAGAAGAAAAAAUAAUAAGAUAUAUUUACAAGC
rnacentral:rRNA from 1 species